rnacentral:rRNA from 1 species
GAUGAACGCUGGCGGCGUACCUAAUACAUGCAAGUCGAGCGAACAGACGAGGAGCUUGCUCCUCUGACGUUAGCGGCGGACGGGUGAGUAACACGUGGAUAACCUACCUAUAAGACUGGGAUAACUUCGGGAAACCGGAGCUAAUACCGGAUAAUAUAUUGAACCGCAUGGUUCAAUAGUGAAAGACGGUUUUGCUGUCACUUAUAGAUGGAUCCGCGCCGCAUUAGCUAGUUGGUAAGGUAACGGCUUACCAAGGCGACGAUGCGUAGCCGACCUGAGAUGGUGAUCGGCCACACUGGAACUGAGACACGGUCCAGACUCCUACGGGAGGCAGCAGUAGGGAAUCUUCCGCAAUGGGCGAAAGCCUGACGGAGCAACGCCGCGUGAGUGAUGAAGGUCUUCGGAUCGUAAAACUCUGUUAUUAGGGAAGAACAAAUGUGUAAGUAACUAUGCACGUCUUGACGGUACCUAAUCAGAAAGCCACGGCUAACUACGUG